CUUAAUAUAUUAUUAUUUAUUAAUAAUUAAUAAUAUAUUAUCUUCGAUCUUCCGUGUCCGAUGUACCAGAGAGUAGAUACCAGUAUCCGAUGUCAAUGACCAGUAUUUCAUCUAUUUGUUGUCAGCAAUUCUCUGGUCCCAUCGAGAUAAAUAAACAUUACGAAAAAUUGUUGCUUACUAAAUACUUUGUGAACGGUUGGGGUGAUCCUGAAAAACUUAAAAGUUUGUUUCAGUUUAGAAAUCAUAUUAUAGAUCGAGACUCCUGUUUUAAACUUGUAUCAGCUGAUUAUCCUGUAAAAAUUGUUAAAAAAAAGGAAGAUUCCGAUUCAAUAACAUUAGAAGGAGUAUUUCAAUCACCUUUUUCUUAUUAUCUUCCAGAUAUAGUGCCAAAAGAGAGUCACCUUGCACAUUUCCAAGUUUUGUUACCAAAAAAAUGGCCUUCCAAAAAUGUAAAACCUAUGUGUGUACACAUGGCUGGCACAGGAGAUCAACAUUAUUGGAGAAGACGAGCUAUGUUAGCAAAACCACUUUUAAAAGAAGCAGCGAUAGGAUCAAUCAUAUUAGAAAAUCCAUUCUAUGGAAAAAGAAAACCAAAUAACCAAGUUAGGUCUAUUUUAUGCAAUGUUUCCGAUAUUUUUGUAAUGGGAGGUUGCUUAAUAUUGGAAUCCCUUGUAUUAUUUCAUUGGUGUGAACGUGAGGGAUUUGGACCUAUCGGUGUCACUGGUUUAUCAAUGGGCGGACAUAUGGCUUCACUAGCUGCUGCAAGUUGGCCAAAGCCAAUUGUUCUUGUUCCUUGUUUAUCCGGUACAACAGCUUCUGGAGUAUUUACGGAGGGUGCUAUAAGCUGUGCUAUUGAUUGGAAUUUACUUGAACAACAAUAUAAAUCAAAUUCUGUAUAUAAAAAUGAAGUUGUGAACAUUGAUAAUGAAGUCAACAAGUUGAAUGUAAAAUUUAAUGCCGGUAAACAAUUUAUAAAAGAUAUGAAUAUUGAUUCACAUUUUAACAUCCAGUCAAAUUUUAUGCUUGAUGAUUCAAAAAAUGAUAAGAGUUCAUUAAACAUAUGUCAACCUCAACAGUCAAAUAAAUUAAAAUUAACCAAUGUAUUCGAUAAUUUGGAUGAUUCGUCAAUUGAAGAAGACAAUGAAUUACAAAUUAAAAAGGACUUAAAACAAACUAGACACAUGAUGAGAUUUUUCAAUAAACAUUCAAAAAGUGAAGAUUUAAAUUUAGAAGCAUUAAGCUUUAUGAAAGGUAUUAUGGAUGAAUGUACUCAUUUAAAAAAUUUCAAAUCUCCUGUUGAUCUGGACUUAGUAAUAGCAGUUUGUGCAAAACGUGAUGGUUAUGUACCUCAACAUACCAUGGAUAAAUUAGAAGAUAUUUGGCCUGGUGCAGAGGUCAGAUAUGUCAACACAGGACAUGUAGCGGCUUUUAUACUUCACCGAAAUACAUUCAAAUGCUGAGCGGAGCGAGGAAUGUAAUGGUUUUACAAUGAUAUUUAUGAACUUUUUCUCCCUCUAAACUUGCUCAAAAGUAUCAAGUAUAGCAUCUUUUCUGAAAGAACUGCAAUAAUUGAAGCAUUUCAACGAGCUCAAAAAAAAUAUUAUGAUAAAUCUUUAUAAUUGUGUGAUAAAUCAGAGGUUUGACAUUUAAUUGGAGUGAUUAAUUUAAUAUAAGACACUAUUGUGUCACUAUUGUGUUAUUUAGAUUAUCUGUGGUUCGCGUUGAACAAAUCACCCCAUGCCCCCCUUACAACACUAUUUUUAUGAAUAUAUUGUAUAGAGUUUUUUUAUUGUAAUAUUAAAUUUGCCUGUACAAACUACAAUGUGAUCCUUGUCAUUUUAUACACCGAGGACCAACACAAAUAAAGUUAUGUUUUUUUUUU